rnacentral:rRNA from 1 species
GAGUUUGAUCUUGGCUCAGAUUGAACGCUGGCGGCAUGCCUUACACAUGCAAGUCGAACGGUAACAGGUCUUCGGAUGCUGACGAGUGGCGAACGGGUGAGUAAUACAUCGGAACGUGCCCGAUCGUGGGGGGAUAACGAAGCGAAAGCUUUGCUAAUACCGCAUACGAUCUACGGAUGAAAGCAGGGGACCGCAAGGCCUUGCGCGAACGGAGCGGCCGAUGGCAGAUUAGGUAGUUGGUGGGAUAAAAGCUUACCAAGCCGACGAUCUGUAGCUGGUCUGAGAGGACGACCAGCCACACUGGGACUGAGGCACGGCCCAGACUCCUACGGGAGGCAGCAGUGGGGAAUUUUGGACAAUGGGCGAAAGCCUGAUCCAGCCAUGCCGCGUGCAGGAUGAAGGCC